GGAAGUGCAUGAGUCCUGCAGGGGAAUCACUCGAUUAACGCCUUCAGAUUAUUUGAAUAGAUAUUCACACACUAAGCCAUGCUGAUAAAAGCGAACACACAUCGAGGAUUGUAAAAACUUCCUUCUGCUCCCACGGUUGAAGGUAUUUUGAGGCUGCUCUGUGGAAGAGGUGGAGAGGAGCCACCAAGAGUGAAGAUGAUCAGUGGAUCCAGAAGGGCUGAUCCGUGAUGCAGCAGCUUGAUCCCCCUUGAUUUGGUCACCAAGUACCCAAAGCUUCUUAUUAUGGACCCAUUAGUCACAGACGGACUGUGUGGACUCCCUUUCUGUGCAGGUGGUGAUGAACACUGGGUCUUCAUCUAUCAAAGGCUCAUGAAGAACCUAAAAAAAUAAAAUAAUAAGUGGAUAUUGCUUUACAGGCUAAUGCGAGUCAGCAAGUCAUCAAACUGUGUUACAGAGACACAAAAGUGCCACUGAUAGCGCCGUCAAUCAGAUGAAGCUCCGGCAGUUGAAGAUCCCCCACUUCCUGCCUCCUCUUUCAGGGAAAACCAUCACCUUCAAGACCGACCUUGUCUAAAAGCUCAUUCAGAAACCAGCCAAACUCCCAGCAGGUCUCCUGUGCUCUGCACCUGCUUCAGCAAACCAUCUCACACCCAUGACAGGUCAUAAGACGCUGACUUGAAGACUUCUGACGGGGGCUGAUUUACCAACAUCAUCCACCCUCUUCAAAAGAGUGGAGCUGUCACAUCCUGAGAGUGUCUGCGUCAGCAAAGAGAAGCGGGGUAAAAAUGAAAAACUGAGACAGCCAGGCAUGGGAGCUGAUAAGAGUCCAGAGACGAGUCCAGAGCGCAGAGAAACUCGUCUAGCGUUAAGAGCUCUUCGUGCACUUAAGCUCGGUGCGGGUGCACACAUUCAUAUAAAUAUGGUAAACAGCUCAGGCCGGAUAAAUCUGAGUCCCAUCCUGUCAUCUUGAGAUCUGCAGAGAUUAAGCUCACGAGCAGGAGCUUCAUAAUCAUCCUAGCACUGAUGGCGGACCAGCACUGCCUGUGCUUGUGCAAACAGACAAUAAAGGCGUUUUUACUAAACUAACAGCACACGAAGUCAAAAGGCACACCCACUGUCACCUUAAACUCAGUCAAUAAAAGCUAAGAGCGCUCAAAGAUGAGAAUGAAGAACGUUGUAUGUGACAUCUUGAGCGAUUAUGAAAGAUGAUCAAACAACCAGGCAUCACAUGGGGUCUGAUAUUUGCAAAGCAGGAUUAACAGAAUUGGCAAGACAAUCAGCACUGGGGAAAAAAAUUGUUUACUUUUAAUUUCGAAGCACAAACAAAAGAAGAAUCAUAUAUGGUAGAAGUGUCAAAGUCAAUCACACAAGGGGCCAAAAUCCAAAACACACCUUAGGUCGCGGGCCGAACAAGAAAAACAUUUAACACACUAAAACUAGAUUUUUAAAACUCUGAUAAUGUAAUUUUGUAACUUCAAAACCACCUUAAAAAACGAAAAAAAA